CAGUGCGAUCAUAUCAGCACUAAUGCACCGGAUCCCAUCAGAACUCCGAAGUUAAGCGUGCUUGGGCGAGAGUAGUACUAGGAUGGGUGACCUCCUGGGAAGUCCUCGUGUUGCACCCC
rfam:Punica granatum cultivar Dabenzi scaffold526, whole genome shotgun sequence.